AGUGAACGCUGGCGGUAGGCCUAACGCAUGCAAGUCGAACGGCAGCACAGUAAGAGCUUGCUCUUACGGGUGGCGAGUGGCGGACGGGUGAGGAAUACAUCGGAAGCUACUUUUUCGUGGGGGAUAACGUAGGGAAACUUACGCUAAUACCGCAUACGACCUACGGGUGAAAGCAGGGGAUCUUCGGACCUUGCGCGAUUGAAUGAGCCGAUGUCGGAUUAGCUAGUUGGCGGGGUAAAGGCCCACCAAGGCGACGAUCCGUAGCUGGUCUGAGAGGAUGAUCAGCCACACUGGAACUGAGACACGGUCCAGACUCCUACGGGAGGCAGCAGUGGGGAAUAUUGGACAAUGGGCGCAAGCCUGAUCCAGCCAUACCGCGUGGGUGAAGAAGGCCUUCGGGUUGUAAAGCCCUUUUGUUGGGAAAGAAAAGCAGCAGGUUAAUACCCCGCUGUUCUGACGGUACCCAAAGAAUAAGCACCGGCUAACUUCGUG
rnacentral:rRNA from 1 species